UUGUACUUAGCUUAGUUGGGAAAAAGCAUCACUCAUGUGAAGUUUGAGGACAUGGGUUCAAAUCCCAUAGUGCACA
rnacentral:tRNA from 1 species